UUGCACAGUGAACACCCAAGUGUGCUUUGUAGUUCCCUUGGUUUUAAUUCUGUGCUAAAGUAAUCUGUGCUUUUCCUCUGCAUUGGAAGGAUUUGUGUUCCUUUUACAUGUAUUCAGAAGGACAGUACAUUU
rfam:Patagioenas fasciata monilis isolate BTP2013 Sc31e1R_163, whole genome shotgun sequence.